rnacentral:rRNA from 1 species
GCCAGACUCCUACGGGAGGCAGCAGUGAGGAAUAUUGGUCAAUGGGCGGGAGCCUGAACCAGCCAAGUCGCGUGAGGGAAGACGGUCCUAUGGAUUGUAAACCUCUUUAGGCGGGGAGCAAUGCCGGGCACGCGUGUCCGGAGGGAGAGUACCCGCAGAAUAAGCAUCGGCUAACUCCGUGCCAGCAGCCGCGGUAAUACGGAGGGGGCAAGCGUUAUCCGGAUUCACUGGGUGCAAAGGGAGCGUAGACGGCGACGCAAGUCUGGAGUGAAAGCCCGGGGCCCAACCCCGGGACUGCUCUGGAAACUGCGUCGCUGGAGUACGGGAGGGGCAGGCGGAAUUCCUGGUGUAGCGGUGAAAUGCGUAGAUAUCAGGAGGAACACCGGCGGCGAAGGCGGCCUGCUGGACCGUGACUGACGUUGAGGCUCGAGAGCGUGGGGAGCAAACAGGAUUAGAUACCCCCGUA